rnacentral:lncRNA from 1 species
UGGUUUUCAUUCCAUAUUAAUGUUGGAUUGCCAAACACGUAAGAAACCAUAUUAAUAAGUAAUAAAAAUAGUAAACAUGUGCAGUGUUAAGGAAGUUGAUUUGAUAAUUUGAUGUGUAUAAAAGGGAAGGUGAAAGAGUGUGGAAUGUGCAGAGAUUGAAGAAAACAUAGAUAUGGGAAGUGAGUAUAAGAAAUUGAUGAUUUUGGGUUUUGUGAUUGCUAUUUCUUUCUCCUUCAUCAUGGAGGGAGCACUCGCAGCACGACACCUCAUGCAAGACAAUUUCUGUAUCCCUGCACCUAUCAUUUCCGCUGUCUAUGAUAUCGGUUUCGGCAUUCCAGUAUGUUCUCCUCCACCACCAGGAGGUUCAACAACCACUGUCCCCUAAGUUAAAGGAAACUUGUGCCCUAAUCUCUCCUUUCCAUUUCAUUUCUCCUUUCCAUCAUCUCCUUCCUUUCAUAUGUUUAAUAAAUGAUUAGGGCAUUCUUAUAAAUAAUAUAUAUUUUAUGUAUAUCUUAUAUGCUUUCUCUUUUCUCUUCACCUUCUGCUUUUUUUCUUUUUUUAAUUCUAGUCGUUUCUUUAUUUUCUGCAUUUUUCUGCUACUUUCAAUUUAAUUAUCACGUGAAUGCUUUUUGUUUCAUCCAUCUAUUCCACCGUAGCAAAAAUAAGAUCCUCC